rnacentral:misc_RNA from 1 species
GAAAUGCGAUAAGUAAUGUGAAUUGCAGAAUUCAGUGAAUCAUCGAAUCUUUGAACGCACAUUGCGCCCGCCAGUAUUCUGGCGGGCAUGCCUGUUCGAGCGUCAUUUCAACCAUCAAGCCCCCGGCUUGUGUUGGGGACCUGCGGCUGCCCGCAGGCCCUGAAAAACAGUGGCGGGCUCGCUGUCACACCUAGCGUAGUAGCAUACAUUCUCGCUCAGGGCGUGCUGCGGGUUCCGGCCGUUAAACGACCUUCAUAACCCAAGGUUGACCUCGGAUCAGGUAGGAAGACCCGCUGAACUUAAGC